UUGGAUCACUCACUCUGGGGGAAGCCAGGUACCAUGUCAGGUACCAUGUUAUGAAGGCACUCAAAGAGCCACGAGGAGGCCCAUGUUGGGGCAAGAUUUUAGGCCUGCCAAAAAUGAGCAACAGUUUGCCAGUCACGUUAAAUGAGCCACCUUGGAAACAAAUCUUCCACUCCAGUGUGCUGUGUGUAUGUGUAUGCUAAGUCACUUCAGUUGUGUCCUACUCUUGGUGACCCUGUGGACCUAGCCCACCAGGCUCCUCUGUCCACGGGAAGCCCCCUUCCAUUCCAGACAAGCCUUCAAAAAACUGACAUCUUGACUGCAACCUCCUAUGAGACCUGGGGCUGGAAGCACCAAGAUAAGCUGCUUCCAAAUUCCUGACCCACAGAAACUGGAAGGGAUUAGUAAACGUUUAUUGUUUCAAGCCUCUGUGCUUUGGGGUAAUUUGUGAUGCAACAAUAGAAAAGUUGUACAGUACCCAACAGCCUUGGACGCUGGCUUCCAGCUGUGUUUGGCCAAUGCACAGAAGGUGAGACUGAAGCUUUAGAGUAAAAGAAGCUUGGGCAAUUCAGUGUGGAGCUGGUGUUCAAAGCCCUCCGUCUACAGACUUGCUCAGAGACCAAGUCAGCACCCUGAGCUCUGAGCGCAGAAGGCAACGCCCUUGGCCUCCUUGUGAUGUUUGCCUCACCCACACCCUCCUCUACAGGAUGUUUUGUGAUGCCAGGACACAGCUGUCUUGAUGCCAGCAGGCAUUUGUUGUUGUUGUUGUUGUGUUCAUAAUGACCUCUGUCUAAAAAUUCUGUAGGCUUCCAGGAAGGGACACAGCGACUGUGAUAAAAUGGACUUCUCCUCCCUGCCCCCUCUGGUUACCAUGGCAACUGUGAGUGACUGAUUUCCUCGUUGCCAUGUAAAUGCCGUGGGAUCCCAGCCACUGCACCACACAAAGACGUAAGAAUAGUGAGAAAA